rnacentral:misc_RNA from 1 species
UUUGUGGAGUACGACGCUGUAGAAUUGGCUGAGAAGGCGGUUCUUGAGCUAAAUGACGUGGAUAACUGGCGAAAUGGUCUAAAAGUCCAUCUGCUGCUUAGACGCGCAGCGAAAUCUGGUCAAGCCCGAGUGAAGAAGGUUGGUCAUGAAAGUGAUCCAAACUCCAAAGAAGAUGAUGAUGUUGCAUUGGAACUCAAUGAGAAACAUGAUGGAGACUCCUCUCACCAUGUUGACGUGCAGUCCAAUGACGUUGCAGAGGAGCAUGGCCGCGUUGGGAAGAAGAAAGGGAACAAUCGUGGUCGGGGUAAGGUACAGGGACAAGGACCAGGACAGACGAGGGGUCGAGGACGUGAAACUCCCCAGUUUCGACAAACCAAUCGUGGAGGGCGUACAGGGGGUUCUGUAACAAAAGUGAAUACUGGAAGUAGUGUGGCUAGUGCCCCCUCGAGUACUGGUGGUGUUAAUGUAACAGGCCAGCCUGCAGUAGUUACUGACCAGUCAGGUGGCAAGCAAUCUUCUGUGCCUCGCAUGCCAGAUGGCACGAAGGGAUUCUCCAUGGGUCGAGGGAAACCAGUAGCUGUAAGAACUGAGUGAUGAUGUUCUAGUUUCGCGGAACUUGUCUCUGUUCAUGCAAACAUUUCCCAAGUAUAGAGAGGGCAAUGUUUCUUCUUUCUUUGCGAUAUUGAUGGCAGAGUUUUGAAGACUGCCGUCAAAUCAGUGAAGAUGAUACAUCUAUCGAUUUAGCAGCAAGAGUCAAGACUCGAGAAGUUAUAUGUUGUUUGUUGUUAAACCAAAAGAGCCACUCUAAGUCCGUGACACUGUGCUGUGAUUUAGUUUUGGAAAACUGAACCUAAAAUUAACAUAAAGCAAUACAAAAUUG